AAACUUGGGUGUCAGCGUAGGAUCUUUGACCCAUUGUUCUAACAUAUAGGAUACUGCGGAUUGAUCUACAGACCUGGUACCGGGUUCAUAGUACAGUUUCUCAACUUGUUGCAUCCAAUCUCUGGCUGAGACAAUUCUUUCGACAGAGGGGAAUGGAAGCUGACCGCCUCCAUUGAUACAACCACCUGGACAUGCCAUGACUUCUACAUAGUCAUAACGUGAAGGCUCUUCUGUAGGAUUUUGAGCAUUGCUUCUUACUCGUUUUUUUAAUAAAACCCGGCCUUUUCGAACCGAGGAAUUUCCAUGUACGCGGCGUACCAAAUUUUGAAUGUUUCGGAAUCCAUAGCACGUUGCCAUAGAUAUUAACUGUUCAUUCGUUUCGGGGUGUCGUAAAGUAUACUCAGUCAAAUCGCCAUU